ACAUGCAAGUCGAACGGCAGCGGGUAGGAAGCUUGCUUCCUAUGCCGGCGAGUGGCGGACGGGUGAGGAACACAUCGGAAUCUACUCCGUCGUGGGGGAUAACGUAGGGAAACUUACGCUAAUACCGCAUACGACCUAAGGGUGAAAGUGGGGGACCGCAAGGCCUCACGCGAUGGAAUGAGCCGAUGUCCGAUUAGCUAGUUGGCGGGGUAAAGGCCCACCAAGGCGACGAUCGGUAGCUGGUCUGAGAGGAUGAUCAGCCACACUGGGACUGAGACACGGCCCAGACUCCUACGGGAGGCAGCAGUGGGGAAUAUUGGACAAUGGGCGAAAGCCUGAUCCAGCCAUGCCGCGUGGGUGAAGAAGGCCUUCGGGUUGUAAAGCCCUUUUGUUGGGGAAGAAAUCCUGCUGGCUAAUACCCGGCGGGGAUGACGGUACCCAAAGAAUAAGCACCGGCUAACUUCGUGCCAGCAGCCGCGGUAAUACGAAGGGUGCAAGCGUUACUCGGAAUUACUGGGCGUAAAGCGUGCGUAGGUGGUGGCUUAAGUCCGUUGUGAAAGCCCUGGGCUCAACCUGGGAAUUGCAGUGGAUACUGGGUCACUAGAGUGUGGUAGAGGGUGGCGGAAUUCCCGGUGUAGCAGUGAAAUGCGUAGAGAUCGGGAGGAACACCCGUGGCGAAAGCGGCCACCUGGGCCAACACUGACACUGAGGCACGAAAGCGUGGGGAGCAAACAGAUUAGAUACCCUGGUAGUCCACGCCCUAAACGAUGCGAACUGGAUGUUGGGUUCAAUUUGGGACUCAGUAUCGAAGCUAACGCGUUAAGUUCGCCGCCUGGGGAAGUACGGUCGGCAAGACUGAAACUCAAAGGAAAUUGACGGGGCCCGCACAAGCGGUUGGAGGUAUGUGUUUUAAUUCGAUGCAACGGCGGAGAACCUUUACCUGCUCUUGAAUCCCCGCGA
rnacentral:rRNA from 1 species